CAAAGGGUGAGCUUGAUAUAAAGAAUCAGUUCGUAAGGGCGGAUUUACACUAGGGUGAAAAACCAAGAUUGAAUCCGGUUUGAGGAUGGGGGUAGGGCUAAUGCUUGGGCGAAUUCAGUCUUUCACUGUACUGAAGUCGAACAAAAAGACUCGCAUUAAGAAAAACUCGCCCCAGCACUAGUCCUACUUUCAUCCUCAAACCGGAGUCAGACCUGGUUUUCCAUCCUAGUGUAAAUACGCCCUAAAUCCGCCCCAACAAAUGAAGUUGCCGUCCAGAGAUUCAACCACACCAAAGAUGUGAAAUUUGACAAAAUCAUAGCGAAAGAAAGGAGCAGACAACAAAGUUGAAGACAUUCAAAUUCGAUUGUUCAGCUUUUAAUUCUAUGAAUGGUUGACGAUAUUGAACUUGCAGUGUGUCUAGUUUUAUCGUGAAUCAAUAGACCAUGAACUUAGACAUCUAAAAGGCCUCGAACGUGACAUGAAGAUUACUUAAUUUGAGUGAAUUCUGCAAGAGCGAAUUAAGACAGAAAAUAUCAAUAUUUGUCCAAAAGUAACGUUCAUUUAUUGUUUUUUGUGGAAAGGAGGUUCUUUUGUCUUAUGAUUGCUACUAAUACCUCCUUUGAGUAUUGGUUUGAAAUCGUACAUAUCUUACAUAUAUUUAUUUCACCGUUUAGAUCUCUAGCAAAAGAAUUGAAUAAGGUGUUAUUAGUAAGCUCCGAUAAAAUAUAUUGUUUCUACGUCGAGUAGAAAUUCCCAAAAGUUUGAGAGUUCGGAUGUGCGAAGCAGCUGAAACGAGCGAUUGAGAAGAAAACCGGUUAGUGAAACCAUCUCGAAUUUCUGCUCGACAUAUGAACUACAUUUUUUGUACAAGUCUAAUUAAUAGAAAUGUUCCUAAAUUGGCUGUCAUUCGUUUCCAAGGAAUAGAAAGUUGUUUUACUCACGUCUUUGCACCCUAUUGGCUUAUGGUCAGAAGUGUUUCAUCCGGUCUUAAAUGUAAUAGAUCUAAUCUUGGGUACCCAACUUGAAAUAUAUCAUACCAUACAACAUGAAAAUGCAUAACCAUUAGCCACCGUGUCUCCCUAUUACCAUUAACCGUUCUGUAUUCAUAUGUUCAUUCCAUUCUACGUUAAGUGUUGAUUAUUAAAUUUACAACGUGCGUCGCAAAACAAUAGAAAAAAACAGAAUUAUCAAGAAAAGUCAAUGAUUACUCAUUACUCCUAGUUUCAUCUUUUUCAGGAUCAACCAAAGCCGGUAGAAAUUGUCAAGCCAACCACGAAUGUUUGACCGGAUUGCAAUGCAAGAAAUGGAGGAAUGGCAAGACUGUUUGUCAACCAAGCUCAUGCAUCAAAGAGAACGAACGAUGCGGCCAACGUCACGGAGCGUGUUGCACUCACCAAGAUAUAUUUUGCUACAAGCCACCAAAUGUGCAGGGUGUGAGAAAAAAGCCUAGAUGCACCAAACUGAAGGACAUUCCAGAGAGGAAGCAUGAAAAUUUGAAGAAACAAAAUGUUUAAAAACACUCAUGUCCUGGUCCUUUGACGUCCAUUUUGCGCCAGAGAAACACAAAUUUCAAUUUAUUUUUGGAUGAAAUUCCUCCACAGGACGAAUGAAUUCGAUCACGAGAAAAUUUUCAAAGGCCAUAUUCAUCUUUUGUUUUGUCACGAAUCAAUUUUUAAACGAGCAUAUUAAUGCCUCAUGGGCAAAUUUGA